UUGUUGAUGUCAAGUAGGCACAGAAAUAACAAAGCAUUUUUUACCGAAAACUACACAAAAAAUGAGUUACCUGGCAGGACAAUGUAGGAAAGUGGUUAAGAUCCAUCAGCUGAGUAUUCCAGAUCUCUGGGAGAGAAUUCUAGGUUCCACUUAGGGUCAUUUGUCCAUCUACAGUCCAAGGGCUACAGUUCUGUAGAAUGUCCAUGGGUGUUCUGAAGAGAAGUGGUUGGCAAAGCUUACUGUGGAUGACAGUUAAUCAGAGAAGUAAGAAGAGAACCUGGAGAAGAACAGUACUUGGGGGAAACUUGUAGGAUGCCAUCAACAAUGUGGAAUGCUUCAGGUAGGGGGACCUGGCCAGGUGCCUCCAUGCGAAGCCACUGUGAUUUCUGAAUGGUCCAGAUUCAGGUACCAGGUACUGGCAAGGAGAACUUCCACUUACCUUGU
rnacentral:lncRNA from 1 species